GUCCAAUUGACGAGCCCAAAACAGGACGAAACGCACGUCUUGGAU
rfam:Schistosoma mattheei strain Denwood, Zambia genome assembly, scaffold: SMTD_scaffold0027570